CGUACACUCCUACGGGAGGCAGCAGUGGGGAAUAUUGGACAAUGGGCGCAAGCCUGAUCCAGCCAUGCCGCGUGAGUGAUGAAGGCCCUAGGGUUGUAAAGCUCUUUCACUGGUGAAGAUAAUGACGGUAACCGGAGAAGAAGCCCCGGCUAACUUCGUGCCAGCAGCCGCGGUAAUACGAAGGGGGCUAGCGUUGUUCGGAUUUACUGGGCGUAAAGCGCACGUAGGCGGACUAUUAAGUCAGGGGUGAAAUCCCGGGGCUCAACCCCGGAACUGCCUUUGAUACUGGUAGUCUUGAGUUCGAGAGAGGUGAGUGGAAUUCCGAGUGUAGAGGUGAAAUUCGUAGAUAUUCGGAGGAACACCAGUGGCGAAGGCGGCUCACUGGCUCGAUACUGACGCUGAGGUGCGAAAGCGUGGGGAGCAAACAGGAUUAGAAACCCUGGUAGUCCC
rnacentral:rRNA from 1 species